AGCGAACGCUGGCGGCAGGCCUAACACAUGCAAGUCGAACGAGCCCUUCGGGGUUAGUGGCGGACGGGUGAGUAACACGUGGGAACGUGCCUUUAGGUUCUGAAUAACUCAGGGAAACUUGUGCUAAUACCGAAUGUGCCCUUCGGGGGAAAGAUUUAUCGCCUUUAGAGCGGCCCGCGUCUGAUUAGCUAGUUGGUGAGGUAAUGGCUCACCAAGGCUACGAUCAGUAGCUGGUCUGAGAGGAUGACCAGCCACAUUGGGACUGAGACACGGCCCAAACUCCUACGGGAGGCAGCAGUGGGGAAUCUUGCGCAAUGGGCGAAAGCCUGACGCAGCCAUGCCGCGUGGAUGAUGAAGGUCUUAGGAUUGUAAAAUCCUUUCACCGGUGAAGAUAAUGACUGUAGCCGGAGAAGAAGCCCCGGCUAACUUCGUGCCAGCCGCCGCUGUAAUAC
rnacentral:rRNA from 1 species